rnacentral:lncRNA from 1 species
CUAUAUUACAAUAAUAGUUCUUUCUGAUAGGAAACUCUUCAAUAUAUCUUCGGAGAAUUGUUUGUGAUGUACUCCACCCGAGCCUUGGCUAGAUUCAUAUACUCCCUCUGUCACACAUUACAAGGGAUUUUGAUUUUUUGUUUGUAAUGUUUGACUACUCGUCUCAUUCAAAAAAUUUAAAAAAUAUUAUUUAUUUGUUUAUUAUUUUAUUUAUUAUUAAAAGUAGUUGAAUUAUUACAUAUAAAUUUUUAUAUUCGCACUAAAUUUUUGAAUAAGACGAAUGGUUAAAAGUUACAAGUGAAUAGCCAGAAUCUCAUAUAUACUGGGAUAGAGGUAGUAGAUGCUAACGAAUCUAGACAUAUAUAUAAAUUAUAUACAUUCCUCAAUUGAUAAAUUUAGGCAAUGCUAGAAAGUCUUACAAUACGAAACAAAUAUAGUACUACUUUAUUUAUAUGAUUUAUAUCUUAUAUUUGUGCAAUUAUUAGCAUUCCACGUAAUAUUUUAUAUAGUUUUAUAUUUUGAUUGUAUAGAUUAUCUAUACAUUUUAUAGUUUAAUGCUAAUAGAGCUGACCUAAAACUUAAGAAAAGUGAUUAAUAUCUUCGCUUGUACAUCUUCAAUUAGUCUCAAAAAUAAAAUUUGAAGAUAAGUCUUUGUCGGUGGUUUGAAACACAAAUUAAUAAGACGACCUCUUAGUUAUUUCCAGAGAUAGUGUAUAAUAAAUGACAGUGUUCUAAUGUGUUUGUGUUAAGAUUAUAAGGGUCUAAAUAAAUCAUGCGGGUUUGGAUUUAUUUUAUUGAUUCAAACAAUAUGCUAUGGAACAUACCAUAACUUUGCAUAUCUUCUCUUAAAUAAUAGAAAACUUUACCAACAUACUUUGUUUUCAUCUAAUCUCUCAAUAUGUUGGGUAUGGUUUAUAAACGUUGACACCGCUAGCAGUGU